CUUGUCUUCAUCCAGAGUCAGGUGUGUCUGUGUGAGGGUGUCAGAUCUCCUGCCCCUGGAAUUACUGACAGUUGUGAGCGGCACAUGGAUGAUGGGAAUUGAACCCAGGUCCUUUGGCAGAGCAGUUAGAGAUCUUAACUGAUGGACCUUCUCUCCAGCACCCCCUUUGUCCUCUCCUUUGACUUGACCUGUUCUCUAGGUUCAAGAGAAUGCUGCAGUCUCCCACCUCCAGCAGGACUGAGGUUCCAUUGACCCGGAGGACACCUUUGUUCUUUGUUCCCACCCUGGAGCAGACCGUGAUGGAUGACGUACAGAACUCUUUCUCCCUAGCCUCCUUAGGGUCCCCAGCCCCACCCUACUGAAGGAAGCAUUCAGGGUGCCCCCACCCCCAAAUCCACUUCUGCCUUCUCCCUGCCUCGAUCCAUCUGAAGUCUCUCCCAUCGUCACCUGGUUCCUUGUCAUUUUCUCCCACAACAGUAUCUCCCCUAAUAAAAGCCAUCCUGUUAGGUUCCUAUUAGAGCCUUCCUCUGAGAUCCAGCCC